rnacentral:rRNA from 1 species
UCUACGGGAGGCAGCAGUGGGGAAUAUUGGACAAUGGGCGCAAGCCUGAUCCAGCCAUGCCGCGUGAGUGAUGAAGGCCUUAGGGUUGUAAAGCUCUUUCGGCGGGGAAGAUAAUGACGGUACCCGCAGAAGAAGCCCCGGCUAACUUCGUGCCAGCAGCCGCGGUAAUA